AGCGAACGCUGGCGGCAGGCCUAACACAUGCAAGUCGAACGAACUCUUCGGAGUUAGUGGCGGACGGGUGAGUAACACGUGGGAACGUGCCUUUUGGUUCGGAAUAACUCAGGGAAACUUGUGCUAAUACCGAAUGUGCCCUUCGGGGGAAAGAUUUAUCGCCAUUAGAGCGGCCCGCGUCUGAUUAGCUAGUUGGUGAGGUAACGGCUCACCAAGGCGACGAUCAGUAGCUGGUCUGAGAGGAUGACCAGCCACACUGGGACUGAGACACGGCCCAGACUCCUACGGGAGGCAGCAGUGGGGAAUCUUGCGCAAUGGGCGAAAGCCUGACGCAGCCAUGCCACGUGAAUGAUGAAGGUCUUAGGAUUGUAAAAUUCUUUCACCGGGGACGAUAAUGACGGUACCCGGAGAAGAAGCCCCGGUUAACUUCGUG
rnacentral:rRNA from 1 species